GAUGAACGCUGGCGGCGUGCCUAAUACAUGCAAGUCGAGCGAACAGACGAGGAGCUUGCUCCUCUGACGUUAGCGGCGGACGGGUGAGUAACACGUGGAUAACCUACCUAUAAGACUGGGAUAACUUCGGGAAACCGGAGCUAAUACCGGAUAACAUGUUGAACCGCAUGGUUCAACAGUGAAAGACGGUCUUGCUGUCACUUAUAGAUGGAUCCGCGCCGCAUUAGCUAGUUGGUAAGGUAACGGCUUACCAAGGCAACGAUGCGUAGCCGACCUGAGAGGGUGAUCGGCCACACGGGAACUGAGACACGGUCCAGACUCCUACGGGAGGCAGCAGUAGGGAAUCUUCCGCAAUGGGCGAAAUCCUGACGGAGCAACGCCGCGUGAGUGAAGAAGGUCUUCGGAUCGUAAAACUCUGUUAUUAGGGAAGAACAAAUGUGUAAGUAACUAUGCACGUCUUGACGGUACCUAAUCAGAAAGCCACGGCUAACUACGUG
rnacentral:rRNA from 1 species